UUCCUCCAGAAGCUGUACCCUCAGUUGAAGAGGAAAACCCUGAUGUUCUUCGGUCAAGGGUACAUGAGUAUCUAUGUUCCCCUCUAGAACUUCCAAAGAAGCUCUCAAAAACCUCAGUAAACGGGGCUGGGG
rnacentral:sRNA from 1 species